rnacentral:lncRNA from 1 species
UUCCGACUGGGAAUCUUGCUCCACCCGCUAUGGCGACCAACCCAAAAGAGGCUAUUCAUCAAAAAGUUGAUUAUGCAGCUACAGUUACGGCUCCUACAAAAUCCAAAAGUAACAGAUUGGCCGACCCAAAUGUGAAAGCUAGAAUCACCACCAAUAAUGGAAUGCCAAUGGUUAUUUUCAAAUCAAGCGACUAUAAUGGCGUGAUGGCAGGAGAAUGUAAAUAUACUAUUAUUGGAAAAUUUCUGAGAACUCAUCCUAACAUAGAACGCAUCAAAUCAGUUUUAGCAGAGAAAGUAUCGCUCAAAGGAGAGGUAACAAUUGGGGUUUACGAUUACCGUACAGUAUUUAUUGAUGUUGCUAAUGAUGAAGAUUGUAAAAUAGAUUGGUAUAAAUGAUCGAUUGAAAAUUGUCAUACCUGGUAUUACGACGUUAAGCAGGUUUUGAGCCCAGCUGGAGUUCCCUUUCUAUGAAUAUUGCAAUUGACAACAGAACAAGGCCUAGAAUGGCAAAGGUCAGAGUGGAAGGCAACCUC